AAUUCGUUUGAGGGGGCUAGGGUAAAACCCUAAGCCGCCUCUUACACCCCUACACCCACCUUUCCACCUCCUCUUCUGCAAUAUCCACCACGUCGCCGUGCGGACAUCACCACCGUGAUGUCCGCAGCGUGACAAGCACAGAAAAAGGACGAGGAACCCCAUGCUUUUUUCAAAUUAAUGCUUGUUUAGUUAGUUAAAGUUUGGUACUGUUAGUAUAAAUUUAAAUGAUGUAGAUUAGUAUUGUUAUCUUAUGAUCUUGGACUAGAAUGUGCUUUGUUUGGAAUAACAAUGACCAUCUAAUGAGCUAGUUGUUUUAAUUAUUGAUCCAGUAGUAUAACAUUUUAUGUACAUUGUAAAAUGGUGAUGUUUUUAACUUUGAUUAGAGUUAGAUUGUAUUGCUAAUGUUGAUGCUCUGUGCCAUACUUGCUUGAUCUAUUUUUCUUUGAAUUUAGGCCAAAAUGAAUCAUGUUAGAACAAAAGGGAUUAGUGAUGAUUGCUUGGUAGUGGUCUAGGGCUGUUAGUGUGAUAUAAGUGGUGAAAUGGACUGGUUGGUUUGCCUGAUGGUCUGUUAAAGAGGAAAUGGGCUGAUCAUUCAAGUUUGUCUUGUCUCUAAUGCCAUAUUUUGUAUUGUCUGUGUUGUUCAUGACAUGUUCUGGGAGUGUAGGCUGUUGAAAUGGUUGUAUAUUCUUAAAAAAUGAUUACUUUGGUUCUUAUGUUAAUCUGUUCUUGUCUAGGGUGUGAGUUUUACCUAUUGGCUGUUAGUAAGAGGUUCAUUUUGAUUGAAAGCAACUUUUUAAAGUUGUGAGGGGUGGCAAUUCUCAUUUGGUUUUCUGCUUUAAGAUUCAUGUGAAACAUCCCAUUUAAGCUUGACCUUUGCAUCUGCAUAUUAGCCUCUUGUCUCCACUUGCUUGUUUAAAGUUAUCCUUAUCUGGUGUUUUAUGGUUACUUGUUUUGAGUUUUAUGGGAACAUUGACCUCUGCUGAGGAAAAGUGAGGUUGUUUUAGUGUUGAUCUUGUAAGCAUGAAUUUCUGUGUCACUCCAUGAUCAUGUGAACUAGCCUAUUUGCUUCUAUGUCAUAUACUUAGAUGAUGGUGCUCAACUUGUACUCUAUAAGCCCUGUUCUGUGUCUUUGUUUAAUUUUCUUGGACUGCUUCUAUAUUCCCAGGCAUAUGUAUCACCUGAACCUGAUAUUGAGCAUGUUGUUCUCUCCCAUUGCACCUGCAUUUUAGUUAGCAUUGUCUUGGCAUAGUAAAUCUUACAUUUCACUUAGUUAGCCUACAUGAUUCUGUGGCUUGAGACUCCAAAAUCCUACUUUGCUUUUGCUUGCUACAUCACUAGUUAAAACACUAUUGUUCAAUGUCAAAUUAACCAUGCUAUGCCUACUUUUAUCAGAAUGCCAUACUGUUAUACUUGUUUUGUCCAUUCUUGUCAAAAUCCUGCAUGGUUUUUUCUAAAUAUGUGUCCCCUUUUACCAUGUUUGUCUUGUUUUGAGAGUUUCAAAUGCUGUAAGUUGACUUAUUCAUGGCUAUCUGCUUUCAAGGUUCAUUUGAGUGUUUAAGAUGUCUUCCUUCAUUUGUGUCAAGGCCUUAGGCCACAUCUUUGCCCUAUCUUGCCUUGUUUGUCAUGUUCAUUAUUUAAUUUAGGGUAUCUUGCUUCUCUUGCAAUGGUAAACCUUGUGUACCUUUCCUCCCCUUCCCUUCUCUUCCUACAUGACUGUUGACAUGUAAAUUCAUGCCUGCCAUCCUGCAUCCCACUUAGGUACAUUGUACAACCUCUCUAAGUGUUACUCUAAGCUAUAGCAGUCCAUUAUAAUCAUAUGCAUUAACCAUGACUAUUUUGCUGUCUUCUGCUUUAGUAUACUAGUGUACAUGGCACUUACCCCAUCAUGAUAUGUAUGAAAUGUGUCUCUUGUGUGAUCAUGACCAUGCCUCCUCCUGUCUGAACUUGUUGGCCUUGAUAUCAAUGUGCUGCACCAUCUGCUUUUACUUGUGCCCUGGCUGACCUGAUUCAUCUUGCAUCACCUAGGAUCUGGAUCUUCUUAUUUCAUCUCUGUACUAUCCAUGUCUGCUGCUUGGGUUGCCCAUUGAAUCUUGUUUUUGCAUCAUACUAGGAACACCAUAUGGCCUGACUAAACUGAUAUUUGUGACCAACAUUGAGUAGUUUUUCCCUGCUACUACUCACAUUGGCCUUACUAUCCCAUGCACCCUUUACAUGCUGGAGUGAGACCUGCAACACCUUAUAUGAACCUUGAAGUUUCUUGAUUGUUUGCCUAAGACAUAAGUUGAACACAUCCAUGCUUUGUGGUAUAUGUACCUUGACACUUCUAUAACUGUUGCCUCCUACAUGGUUCACCAUGGCUUAUCUCAGCCAUACUUCCAUUAGUGUACUGCUUCUAUGCUCACAAGCUUUGUUUGUGUUCAUUUCAGUGCUACCUGUUCCCUUUGUAUUUGUUGUGAUCUUAUAUACUUUGUGCUCUCUUUGUUCCUUCUUAAAUGGUGUUUAUUAAUUCGAGGCCAAGUAUGGUAAUUCAGGGAUGUUCUAAUCUCCCCGGUGUUAGCCAUGCCUGGGGUCCUUCAAGGCCCCUUAGAACUUGUGCGACAUCGGGAAUACGGGGUUAGGACCCAGUCCCCAGGUCAUAUUAAGUCUUAAAAUGAACCAUUACCACAGUUUAGGAUACGGAGGGACAAGUAUAAGAUCUUUGCAUGACUUGUUUUGUUUAUAUAUGUACAUAUGUGUGCCUUAGUUAUUUUAGUAAUAAGGACGGUUAAAUAUAAACUAACCGAGUUUUUUUUCUUUUCUUCUUUUCCUCCUCCACUUGUAUGACCAUUCGGGUCAAGACCAGGACCACCAUUCAAAUUAGGAUCGAGUCCGCGAAGAAAAAACAAUAGCGAGGCGCGCAGAAGGCCCAACCAUGGGUGAAAAUGGCUAACUAGGGGCUUGAUAUUGAAGUGUGUAGAAAUGGGAGCUUGGAAGCUCACAAAAGGGAGAUGCAGCUCUUCAGAAUUCCCUGAAGGACCGGAGUGUAACCGGGUUCUUAACUCUGCACGUCAAAGGAAAACGUAAGCUCUCAAUAAUGUAUUUUCCACUUUAUCUAGAUAUGUAGUUAAGACCAACUAUAUAUCUUGUACCCAAAUUGUAUUCUCUUUUUACUUUUGAUUAAUGUACAGUUUCAGUGCUCUGUCUUUUCUCAAUUUGUCCCUUAGAUAAUGACUAAUGUUAAUGAGAUAUAACUUAUAAGUACGAUAUUAAGCUUAAAUUAAGGGGGUUGAUUAUCAAAGCUCUUUUAAAGAUCUGAAACUAUAUAGAAGAAUCCUACAACUAUGCUCAAAGUCUGGGCGAUUCUAACUUCUCAACUAAUGAUGACUCCUGAAAAAAGGUGUUGAUCUCUUUGAUAAAGUUAGACUAACAAAGUUUUAACAUACUAUGUGCUUUUAACAGUUACCAGUUUCAAAAAAAACAUAUUAUGUGCUUUUCUGGGGCAAUUUAGAGAAAAAUUCCAAGGAAUGUCGUGAUUGUAACUCUUCCAUUUUCCAAAAAAACAAAACAAUUUUUGUUCUGGGUUUGAGAAAAGUUUUUUCAGAUUCCGUACUGCAAAUCAAAGCCAAAUAGAAAUAUAGAAUAGAUCUUUGGUUCUAGAAAAAGGUCAGACAAAAGAAAAAAUUCAACAUCUUAUUUUCCCGCUAUGUCAUAUUUCUGCUAAACCAUCACUUUUUUCAGUAUUUUCAAGUCAAGAGACCAUAGCUUAAGAAUAAAAAAUUGAUAUUAGUAGAAUCUCAAUUUUGAUUCAACUUUGUCUCUAAAGUUCUUGUGUUUCUGACUAACGUGCAAGCAUUCCUGCUUUGAGACGGAUUGUAGUUGGCAAAGUGAGUUACUUUACCUUUUCUAAGAACCAGCACAAGGUAAUUUUUUCUAAUUUUUAGGAGUUAACCGAACACAAGAAACAAUUGGACUUACAUGGGUUUGACCCAUAAAAACCCCCGAGUUGUAUCUUGCAUACUUGCAAGCGUGCAAGAUUGGCAGAUAAAAGAGAUGCCUGUUUAUGUUUAUAUUUUAUGCAGGAAUAUUAUGAGGUUAUUUCUGUUGUGCAUCAUGGUUAUUAUCUGGUUGAUCUUUACGGCCUUGCUAACCACAUAGGUGAAGUUCUAACCUUGCAGGUGGCAUGACACCUUUUUAGAAAUACGUCCAUGCAUAUUGCUGGUGAACUCAUACUGUGAGGUGAUUUAUCGCACAGUAAACUUGGCGCCAAUAAUUGCACAAAGCUUUCCACAUUUUGGCAAUAUUUAAUGUGGAGCAUGGAGGCUAUCAGGAAGUUCUGAUGUAAGGAUGACGAUGAAGAACAUUAGUGGGCAAAAUCAAUUUAGUGUUAGCAGUGCAUUGUAGAAUGAUGAAUUUCGUGUGAUGUUUCAUGUCAUGUCCUUUUAAGGCAUUUAACCUUUUGGCUUUGAAGUUGUACUAUUAAAAAAAAGUUUUGUUCUUUCAAGAUAUUUUUAUGUGGCAUGUAUAGUCAGCAACUAUGUAUAAUCCGUAGGGCUCUUUAAAACUUCUCUUG